rnacentral:rRNA from 1 species
GAUGAACGCUGGCGGCGUGCUUAACACAUGCAAGUCGAACGGGGCCACCAUUUUUGAAGCGAUUAGCUUGCUAAGAGUGGAAAUGUUGGCGGCUUAGUGGCGGACGGGUGAGUAACGCGUGGGUAACCUGCCAUAUACAGGGGGAUAACACUUAGAAAUAGGUGCUAAUACCGCAUAAGCGCACGGAGCUGCAUGGCUCAGUGUGAAAAACUCCGGUGGUAUAUGAUGGACCCGCGUCUGAUUAGCUUGUUGGCGGGGUAACGGCCCACCAAGGCGACGAUCAGUAGCCGGCCUGAGAGGGUGGACGGCCACAUUGGGACUGAGACACGGCCCAA